rnacentral:rRNA from 1 species
UACGUAGGGUGCGAGCGUUAAUCGGAAUUACUGGGCGUAAAGCGUGCGCAGGCGGUGAUGUAAGUCCGAUGUGAAAUCCCCGGGCUUAACCUGGGAUCUGCAUUGGUGACUGCAUUGCUGGAGUAUGGCAGAGGGGGGUGGAAUUCCACGUGUAGCAGUGAAAUGCGUAGAGAUGUGGAGGAACACCGAUGGCGAAGGCAGCCCCCUGGGCCAAUACUGACGCUCAUGCACGAAAGCGUGGGGAGCAAACAGG